CCUGCGGCGGGGCGUGGCGUACGUCACUGAACCCGUAGUGCUGCGAGUGUGGGUUGUGGGGUGUAACGCUGCGCAGUACCAACACCGAAACGACAGGAUGGGCAGCGGCGGCGGCUCGGUCGGCUGUGUGUUCUGGGGCCUCAUCUGGCUGCUGGUCCUGUUCUUUUUCGGCUUCUGGCUCGCCGGCUUCUGCGCCUGCUGGUACAUCCUCAUCGUGCCGCUCACGGUCUGCAUCGAUGGCCUAUCGGGGUUGACUGACACGCUGAUGCGAGGCGUGCAGUUUCCGAAGACCUGUGCCGAGAACAUGAUGUCAGGCCGGCCUCUCUGCUAGCUGGAGGUCCAGCACAUCCCGACGCGGCGCGGCUCGCCGAAAGGACGCCACGCUCUGCCUGGAGAGCGACCGCCUGCACCGCGUGCUGCCACCCGCUUCAAGCCGGAUGUGUCUGAAGCUUGAUGCCAGCACCUGUUAGUCGGCACGUCGAUUUAUUUUUGUUAGUCGGCAAGUCGGUCGGCUUAUUUUUCCCGGGCGACUUACAGCCGGUUGAAUGGCGUAACGGCUUAGAAAAACCGUUACCCGCACGGAUAAAGAUAAGAGACUUUCCGAAAUAUAUUUGCAUAACGAGAGUGAGCGCAGGAAGAAUUGAGUAAAACGAGGAACGCGACAAUAGAUGAGUCAGAUCGAGACGUAGGGCGACUAAAAUAAGAAAACACUAUGCUCGCAGCGCGCAACGUCCAACCACAUUCAUAAUCCACGUAGACGGGACCCAUGUCAUCCGUGGCUGUUGCCGCAGGACAGCGCGGUUGCGCCGCACACUUCUCACAUGGCGCAGUGGAGGGUAUCGAGGGAAUGCUCGAAAGGGGACAACGCGUCCGCGCACCCUAUUUGUGUCAGGCCCGCGCACGGUGUGUUGUCACCGCUCUGCUUGUUACCAUUACGCGGACUGGUCACUCCGUAAUAAUGUUUUACGAAGUUCGGCCUAGAGCUCUACGCUUUUCUUACGCCUCCUAGGUGUAAGAUUGCUGUCGGUUAACAUAAAAUGUUGACUGAUUGGUUCAUCAUGGAAGGGAUGAGAGUUUUGAUCUGUUAUAUUUUACACGGAAUAUGCAGAGGAUGUAAUAUGUCAUUAUCGAGUAGGUUUUCAUGAAAGAUAUUUUUUGCGCGUUUUUAUGACCAGGAGAGUAUGUGACCAGGCUACGACCUCUGAAUGUGCACUAUCUACUCGCGGCGACACAUGUGUUGGCAGCAGUGCGGUCGUGUGUAAAUAGUGCGCAACACACAGGGACCUGAUGAAUUGGAUAUUAGACAAUAAUACGAGGCUAAUUAAGUUGCUUGGAAUACCAAGACGCAUUA